AGCUUUGCGCAGUGGCAGUAUCGUAGCCAAUGAGGUUUAUCCGAGGCGCGAUUAUUGCUAAUUGAAAACUUUUCUCAAAUGAAUAAAUAAAAUCUUAAAAAAAAAAAAAAAAGAAAAUUCUGACUUUAGUUACCAGGUGUUGCUA